rnacentral:RNase_P_RNA from 1 species
CAACUGAGCUUGGCAAGCGCGGCACCUGGGCGAAAGCCUUUGUGCUGAGGAAAGUCCGGGCUCCUGAGACCAAAGGAUGCUGGGUAACUCCCAGUGGAGGCGACUCUAAGGAUAGUGCAGCAGAAAAAUACCGCCGGCCCCUGGGGUCGGUAAGGGUGGAAUGGUGAGGUAAGAGCUCACCGGCAGUUCGGCGACGAACUGGCCCUGUAAACCCCAUCCGGAGCAACACCGUGGCGAAGCGAUAAUGGUCUCUACGCUUCAGGAGGUGGCUUGAGCUGUGGCGAAAUCCAUGGCCUAGAUAGAUGCUUGCCCUCGACAGAACCCGGCUUAUGAGUUCAGUUGGAAG